GGCGGCAUAGCCAAGCGGUAAGGCAGAGGUCUGCAAAACCUUUAUCACCGGUUCAAAUCCGGUUGCCGCCUCCA
rnacentral:tRNA from 1 species